CAGAAUGUGAAAGUUUCCCGCGUGAAGCCGUGGAGCUCGAGAUCCUGUUUACUGUGGACUAGCUGUGUGUGACGCCCUGUUGUUUUUGUUUCCAUUAAAAAAAAAAAAGGAACAUGGAGUUGGGAUUUGCAAUCUGAGGCAGAGAAUGAGGAGCUGCCAGAAAAAAGGAACAGGAAGCCAGU